GCACUGCUGGUGUAGCGGUAUUAUUUAAGAUUUACAUUCUUGUGACCCCGGUUUGAUUCCUGGGCGGUGUA